rnacentral:lncRNA from 1 species
UCUAAUACACACCUCCUUGUCUACGUGGCUAGCGCGUGUUUUACAAACAAAAUGAGGCAUCUGAAUAGUAAAAAAUCGUAUAUCUGAUAUUUUAUUUAAACGGUUCAGAUUUAGUAAAAUUUAUCCAACGAUUACAAUUAAUUUUCUUUUUUUCCUUUUUUAGUUUCUUCUUUUUAUAUUUUUCUAAACUAACCCACCACCCCAGACCCACCUAGACCUCUCCACCACCCACCAUUAUUGCUCCACAACUUCUCCACCAUCCUAAAAUCAACCAACACUCACCUGUCGAAAAUUCACCAUACCUUCUCCAUUGAAGCACCUUUUUCUCUCUUCCUUUUUUCCCUUUCACCU